UGAGAGAGAGAAAAGUGUCAUAUAGAAAGAAGAAAGACUAAGAGUGGAUGAAACGAAAAAAACAAAGAUAGAAAGUAAGGGGAAAACAGAUACGAAGAAAAACGUGAGUGUGAACACAAAAACGGACAAAGAUAGUUAAUAGUUCACACGAGAGAUAGAGGAGAAUAUAUAGAAAAUUAAGCAAAGAGAGGGUUGAUAGGGAGAUGGAAAUGUAGAUAAAGAUAGUAGGAUAGAUUGAGGGAAACAUAGGAAGUGAAGAGGAAAGAGUACGGGAUACAAGAAAAGGAAGAAGACCGAGAGAUGCUUAAGUGAAAAAGAAAUAGAGAGGUAUGGUAAUUAAGAAUAAAAGAAAGACUAAUAAGGAGACGUUGUCGCACAAACUAGAAUCCACUGAAGGAAAAGUUGUGGAACUACGUGAUUAAAAGGGAUUUUGAUCUUAAUUACAUGAGUAUUGACUCUGGUUUAUGCUACCUAUAACUCUGAUUCACUUGAAAAGCGAUUCUGAUUCCCGAGUAGAGUUGAUCUAAAAAUAUAAAGAGAAGAAUACACGAAUGUAUAAUUUUCAUUCAUAUUUUUACCUUCCAGUAAUGUUUCGAGAAAGUAUCCAUAUUUUUUUUUACAACGGUACGAAGUGAAACAUUAUCAGAAGCGCGUGGUUAGGAGCCAGGCACUAUUCGCAACUGCUGUUACAACUUUAAUGCUCGCACAUAUAUAAGUUUAUAUUAUGCCACAACAAGUACAUAUGUGUAUUAUUUUGACGACGUUAUUCAAUGAGAUGGGUCAUGAAACUGAAUUGCCAAUAUUGCAAAGGGUCAGCUUUACUACACAUGUCUACAAUUCUACACGUGACAUUGAGGAUAUCUUCUAAUGUUCUACACAGUAUGCUGUAACUUUGGGUUAAAAUAACUUCGUGAGAUUUCAUCGACUUUUACUAUAUCAAUUUUUCUGAUUUUUAAAUCGUUCUAAAUGUAACAUUCGAAAUAUUCACCCAGAUGAAAAUGGUGUCAUACAAGCAGAAUGAAUAAUAUUAAGAAAAGGAGAAAUUAUUGAUGACAGUCAAGAGAGAAAUAACGUCAUCGGUUUCAACAUAGGGAGCGUUAUUACGUAACACAACACCACCAAAGUAUAUAUACAUACAUACAUACAUACA